rnacentral:rRNA from 1 species
UGCGGAGGGAUCAUUACUGAGUACCGCUCUAUAACCCUUUGUGAACGUACCUAACCGUUGCUUCGGCGGGCAGGGGAAGCCUCUCGCGGGCCUCCCCUCCCGGCGCCGGCCCCCACCACGGGGACGGGGCGCCCGCCGGAGGAAACCAAACUCUAUUUACACGACGUCUCUUCUGAGUGGCACAAGCAAAUAAUUAAAACUUUUAACAACGGAUCUCUUGGUUCUGGCAUCGAUGAAGAACGCAGCGAAAUGCGAUAAGUAAUGUGAAUUGCAGAAUUCAGUGAAUCAUCGAAUCUUUGAACGCACAUUGCGCUCGCCAGCAUUCUGGCGAGCAUGCCUGUUCGAGCGUCAUUUCAACCCUCAAGCACCGCUUGGUUUUGGGGCCCCACGGCCGACGUGGGCCCUUAAAGGUAGUGGCGGACCCUCCCGGAGCCUCCUUUGCGUAGUAACUAACGUCUCGCACUGGGAUCCGGAGGGACUCUUGCCGUUAAACCCCCAAAUUCUUUACAGGUUGACCUCGGAUCAGGUAGGAAUACCCGCUGAACUUAAGCAUAUC